rfam:Tursiops truncatus cont1.156569, whole genome shotgun sequence.
ACAGCAUACAGAAUGGAUCUUGGAGGAAGGGGUCCCUGCUGGGCCUUCAAGGAAACCACGUGUAGACAUGAACAACCUUCAAUCUCCUGACCU